rnacentral:lncRNA from 1 species
AUUUGUGAGUGCCACACCCAUCACCAUCGCUAAUGCUGGACUAAUUCCUUUUACAUAAAGGUAAAAUUACAAAUAUCUUCCAUACUAAGUUAUCCACCGUUGGAUCCAUCAUUUUUGCGGUGUUGUACGCUUCUAAACACCGGAAUGGUCAUUACGCUAACUCGGUGGGACAUACGUGUGACCCCACAGCUGGGUACCCCUCCUUACUCUGGGUAGGUUUCUGAGGGUUGGCGGACGGGUAGUGAGUAUGGAAAGGCAGGUAGAUUUGGAUCUGUCAAGAUGGCUCGUUUCAUUUAACCCGCUUGAGACUUCAUGUCUCUGGUGACAUGAAGCUGUAGUUAGGUCUGAGAGGCGAGAUGAAGAUGAGGGAGUGUGAAUAAGAGAUGCGCUUGAUCGCCAUUUCCUCGUCGCCGACCUCUUGGCGGUGGCGCUCCUAGCCCUCUCCGAAGGGCUGGCCUCCGCCUCCGCCCCUGCCGCUUCCGUCGUUGGUCGUCGAUCCUCGUGUCCAGAUCAAGGUCCGCGAGGUCGGCAACCGGACCGCCAUGUCCAAGGCGAAACCGAUGUCGGCGUCGUCCAGCUCAAGGAGUACUGGGAUUACGAGUCCAUACAAUGAGGUAAGCGAGAUUCCCAAUCCCUACCCAAAUUCUGACCCUAAUUCCUUUCUUUCGUGUUUGGGUUUGAUAGACUAUGUAGCGAUGUUGGGGUUACAUGAAAUGGUUAACUGAACUGCGGUUCAUGGAGAUUUUUGUUUUUUCCUUCGGUGAUGAUUUCUUGAGUAUAGAGGAAACCUAUUUCGUGUGCUUCAUAUGUAGUUGAAUCGAUCUGCUGGUUUCUAUACUUUGACGUGUUUCUUGGAUGAUUGUUAGUUUCUUGGCGUUUUCAUGUUUCAGAUUCUUAUUCACAGUUGAUAACCAGGCCCUGAGAAUCUUGGGCUUGUCAAGAAAUUCCGAGAUAUGAGGAUAUUGGUUCUCGAUUUGUAAUAUAUGGAUCUCUGCCGCCGUAGUCUCUGUUAGUCUUGAUCGGGUUAUUGCAGUCCCCACUGUCGGUGGGGCAUGUGAGGUUUCGAAGCCUUACCCAAUCCCUUGCUCUGAUUCGUUUCUUUUUUGUUUGGGCUUCAUAGAUUAUGUAGCGAUGCUUGGGUUUACAUAAGAUGGUAACCUUUUCAUUGGAUUUCUCUAGCUAAAGAUUAAAGUUGCAAUGGAUUUAUAUUUUGAUGAUUUCUUUAGCAUUUCACGUACCUACUUUGUAUACUUCACAUAUAGUUCAAUCAAUCUGUUGGAAGCUAUACUUUGGCAUGUUUCUUGAAUGGUUGUUAGUUUCUUGAUGUUUUCAUGUCUCAGAUUCUUAAUUACAAUUGAUAAGCAGGCCCUGAGAAUCUUGGGCUUACCAAGAAAUUCCGAAGCAUAAGGAUCUUGGUUCUUGUUUUGGUGAAGAAUUGAUUUGUAACGUAUAGAUCUUUUAUGCCUAUAAUUCUUCAUCGAGUUAUUGCAGUACCCAAUCGGAAACCUUGCCCAAACCAUGUACCUAGCUAGUUCCGAUCCUUUUUGUUUGGACUUGAUAGAUCAUGUAGCGAUGUUGGGGUUAACAUCAGAUGGUUAACCUUUUCAAUAGAUCACCUUGGAUUUAUUUUUUGAUGAUUUCUUUAGCAUUUCACAUACCUACUUCUAAUACUUCAUAUUAUGGUUGAAUCAAUCUGAUAUCUUUCUUUGGAUGAUUGUUAGUUUCUUGGUGCUUUUAUCGUUCGGAUUCUUAUUUAUAGUUGAAAACCAGGCCCCAUGAAUUUUGGGCUUUUCAAGAAAUUCCAGGUUAUAAGGAUCUUACGUCUUGAUUGGACGAAGAUUUGGUUUGUAUUUCGGGGAUGUAUGAUGCUGCCGUAAUGUCUGUUAGUCUUCCUCGAGUUAUAUUAUUAGUCCCCAUCGUCCGUAGGGUAAGUGAGACUUGCAAACCUUGCCAAACCCUAACUGUGAUCGUUUUCUUCUUUUUUGUAUGGGCUUGAUGGAUUAUGUGGUAAUGUUGGUGUUAUUUGAGAUGAUUAACCUUUUAAUUAAUUCUUUCUGCAGUUACAUUCUAUUCAUAUUUUGACGAUUGCUUUAGUAUUUCAUGAAAUCAACGUAUAUAGUUUCGAAUAAUACCAUCCCGUAUGGGUGGUAUAUAUCGGUCCAUAUUGGUACGCGGACCACCUGCUACCCGAUGAUAUAUAUAUAUAUAUAUCAAACGGUAUACCGGUAUAUAAUAUCGUAUCGUACCGAAAGAAUCUCGAAACUUCGGGACGAUAUGAUAUUUCAAUCUUUGCUGGUAUCUAUACUUGACAUGUUUCUUGGAUGAUUGUUGGUUUUUUUUUUUUUUUCACGUUCCAGAUUCUUAUUUACAGUUGAUAACCAGGUCCCAUGUUUGCUAUAGCAACGCCUUUUAGUCUUCAUGAAGUCAUUAUCAGUCUCUCACGCUCCGUCGGUGGUGAGAUUCUGAAACCUUACCGGAAUCCUAACCUCAAUUCCAUAGUUGUUUUGGUGUGAGAGAUUAUGAAGCGAUUUUAUGAAGUGAUAUAUGAGAUGGCUAAGAUAAACCAUCUUGGAUCGUAUGGUGAUGAUUUCUGUAACAUUUCCCCAAUCUUCUUCAGGUACUUCAUGUGAACCAGUUGUAUAUUUUGGGCUUGCAUGUUUCUUGGUAUUUCCAUGUUUCAGAUUUUUCUUUUAUUUACAGUUGAUAACCAGCCUCUAAGAAUUGUGGGCUGACGGAAAAAAUGUCUAGAUGUAAAGGAUCCCGGUUCCCGAAACAAGUUCCUCGUCAUGUAAGUUGGUUUGCUAGAUUCCAAAACAUUUUUAUUGAAACCCUAAUUUUUAAUUUGGUUCCUUUUUGUUUGGGUUUGAUACGUUCGGUACGAAUGUUGGGUGGGUAAUCUUAAGAUAGUUGAACUUUUCAAAAUAAAUUUUCUUUUGCAGAUCUAAGAGUUGGAUUUAUAUUGUCAUGAUUUAUUAGCAUUUCGUGAACCCAUUGUUUGACAUGUUUUUGAUGCUCAAUUUAAGAGAUACGGAUCCUGUUACCUGAUUUGAUGAAAAGGUGACAAAUUUCUUUUCUUUGUUGCAGUGAUCAGGAUGACAAAUGGGCUUUCAAAAUAGUUGGCAGAGGGGGAAUGAUUUUUUUCAAAGUAUUGAUUUUUUUUCAAUAUUGAUGUUUUUUUUUUUCCCUUUGGAGGGAAUGAUUUUAGUUACUGUUAAUCUUUGCAAGCCCGCGAAGAAAACAAAAAAACUUUUUAAGUUAUUCUGAUUCAAAGUAUAAAACUUUUCGUGAGUGCAUAUAAGAGUGAUUCUGAUUCCUUCAUUAGAAAUUUAUCUCGUAAAAUAU